UAGGGAAUCUUCGGCAAUGGACGAAAGUCUGACCGAGCAACGCCGCGUGAGUGAAGAAGGUUUUCGGAUCGUAAAACUCUGUUGUUAGAGAAGAACAAGGAUGAGAGUAAAAUGUUCAUCCCUUGACGGUAUCUAACCAGAAAGCCACGGCUAACUACGUGCCAGCAGCCGCGGUAAUACGUAGGUGGCAAGCGUUGUCCGGAUUUAUUGGGCGUAAAGCGAGCGCAGGCGGUUUCUUAAGUCUGAUGUGAAAGCCCCCGGCUCAACCGGGGAGGGUCAUUGGAAACUGGGAGACUUGAGUGCAGAAGAGGAGAGUGGAAUUCCAUGUGUAACGGUGAAAUGCGUAGAUAUAUGGAGGAACACCAGUGGCGAAGGCGGCUCUCUGGUCUGUAACUGACGCUGAGGCUCGAAAGCGUGGGGAGCGAACAGG
rnacentral:rRNA from 1 species